GUAACAACACAAAGUGAUAUAUUGAAUCAGUUUUAUGCUCUGAGCAUUUCCAGACUACUUGUUAUCUAGAUUCGGCUCAUGAAAAUGUUGUAAAGGCGUCGUGCAAGGCGUCGUGCCCCCCCCCCACGGAGCACUGCAAUGGACUGAUCCACUUUCCUGAACGACGCCAAUUACUGCGCGAGCGGCGCGUAAAAAUAACUCAAACUCUCAGAAGCUUUACUCCCGCCAUUUUAACUCAUUUAUAAGGAAAUUCCAGUUUUUAAAAUACACUUCUGAAGGAUCUGGGAUUGGAAAGUGUGUUGAUAAUGGGCUGGGUUGGGGAUGCGGACCUGAAAGGGAACAGGCACGUCGCUGCGUCAAGGUGUGUUUUCUGGAAUUUUCCACUGCGCCUGUCCUGAGAGAGAAAAAAAGUCUGACGUGAAAUAAAUCAGCUGCAGCUGAAAGAAAUCUCAACGUGCACCUGAGUAAAUCUGACUCUGACGUCUGAGAUACAGCACGGCGCCGUGUCAUCAUGUUAGCUACUCUUAAAGGGAAAGACGGUGAUGACCAUGGUCCUCGGUAUUUUUAUCCUGACCUCGGGUUCCCCUCUGUGUGGAGUUUCACAUGUUGUCCUCGUUUUUUCCGGGUUCUCUGGUUUCCUCCCACCUCCCAAAAACAUGCCGACGUUUUGCAGAUUGCUGAGCCUUUACCAGGUGUGCCAUUAGAUGAAGGAAUAAAACAACCCCUACGACGAGAUUGAAAAGGAGCAGUUAUUUCAUUUGGCGCAGCAGGUAAAAAAAAAUCAAAUUCACUUUGCUGUGAAGGUAAAUAAAUCAGCAAUUUCAUUGCGUGGAGUUCCGCCCGACUGCUUUAAUGAAGUCAUCAGGGCAAACGAAGUGCUCAUUUAUCCUAAUGGGCGAAAUGGGUUAGGAGGCGGAAAUGUUCUGUGUUCAUCCUAGCAUCUCUCCAGGCACACGGACCUUAAUCAAGAGAACUAAAAGGCAGGAACGGCUCUAUUAAUUGUGCCUGUGUUAGCGAGGUCUUCCGAAA